rnacentral:rRNA from 1 species
GAUGAACGCUGGCGGCGUGCCUAAUACAUGCAAGUCGAGCGAACAGACGAGGAGCUUGCUCCUCUGACGUUAGCGGCGGACGGGUGAGUAACACGUGGAUAACCUACCUAUAAGACUGGGAUAACUUCGGGAAACCGGAGCUAAUACCGGAUAAUAUAUUGAACCUCAUGGUUCAAUAGUGAAAGUCGGUUUUUCUGUCACUUAUAGAUGGAUAAGCGCCGCAUUAGCUAGUUGGUAAGGUAACGGCUUAGCAACGCAACGAUGCGUAGACGACCUGAGAGGGUGAUCGGCCACACUGGAACUGAGACACGGUCCAGACUCCUACGGGAGGCAGCAGUAGGGAAUCGUCCGCGAUGGGCGAAAGCGUGACGGAGCAACGCCGCGUGAGUGAUGAAGGUCUUCGGAUCGUAAAACUCUGUUAUUCGGGAAGAACAAAUGUGUAAGUAACUAUGCACGUCUUGACGGUACCUAAUCAGAAAGCCACGGCUAACUACGUG